AUUUUGAAUAUAGAGUCAGGGUUAUUAAAUUAGCAAUACAAGUUACGGUUUGAAAAAUGUGCAAUUUGUUAAACAAAAUUUUAUGUGGCGAUGAAAUUCAAACAUAAUACACCCACAAUUAAAUAGGACUCUGAAGAAUAACAUCUGGCA